UGGGGAAUAUUGGACAAUGGGCGAAAGCCUGAUCCAGCCAUGCCGCGUGUGUGAAGAAGGUCUUCGGAUUGUAAAGCACUUUAAGUUGGGAGGAAGGGCAUUAACCUAAUACGUUAGUGUUUUGACGUUACCGACAGAAUAAGCACCGGCUAACUAUGUGCCAGCAGCCGCGGUAAUACAGAGGGUGCAAGCGUUAAUCGGAAUUACUGGGCGUAAAGCGCGCGUAGGUGGUUUGUUAAGUUGGAUGUGAAAUCCCCGGGCUCAACCUGGGAACUGCAUUCAAAACUGACUGACUAGAGUAUGGUAGAGGGUGGUGGAAUUUCCUGUGUAGCGGUGAAAUGCGUAGAUAUAGGAAGGAACACCAGUGGCGAAGGCGACCACCUGGACUAAUACUGACACUGAGGUGCGAAAGCGUGGGGAGCAAACA
rnacentral:rRNA from 1 species